CUUUUCCAGCGCGGCGGAGGGCGCCCCCUAGAACGCAGAGGGGGGGCAGAGGGAAGUGAGAUGGGGACUACGGGGUCUCCAGUGGUUCAAACCCUGUCGUUCCUCCGCGUUACAGAGCUACAGCGGUCUCCGGGUGGCGAAGUGCGGAGACGGGGUUUUGGAGACGGUGGAUGGAGGAGGGGGAGGGAAAGCUGCCAACUUUGGAUACCAACCCCGUACACCCACCGAAGGGGAUGUCCCACUUUUUCCAGCGCUGGGAGCAAAAAGAUAACAGUGAGCGAGGUUGAAAAAUUAUAAAGUAUCCCAGGACAGUGCUCUGUAACCAGCCCAUAGUAGCUACUGCUAUUUUACCAGCUACUGUAUCUUUCCUUCUUUGAUUUCCAGCACCUGACAGUGAAAAGAGCAAUUUGAAGAAAAACAAAAUUUAUCUUCAAUGUGAAAAGCAAUUUAUAAAAAUCCGAAUACUUGCCAGGAGCAACUUGACAAAAAAGACAAAGGUGGUAGAAGAAAUGUAACCAGCCCACAAUUCCAAUGUUGAUAACAGAUGAGCUCCCUUUCAAGGUGACUGACAUUUACACAAGUACACAGAGCAAGAAGAAGGUCUGAGUGAACUGCCAAGCAUUUUAACUUCUCCUGAGACCAAGUACAUCAACAGUUCUCUUGGAAAAGAACAACUGAUUUGGGAGUCUAGCAGACUGCCAGCUGCAAGACAUUCAUCCAGCAUCAGGAACACAAUGGGCCUUCAUUUGCCUGCCUUUCUGAGGGCACCAAUCAAAAGGAGUCUACUCCUAUGUAAAUCUUCUGCAGGUUGUGCAGUGGACUUCACCUAGUCUCCCAUCUCCAGCUAAUUUGGCCAAGAAUAGUCACCUGGCGCAAGGUGGGGAGGGAGCUCUCAAUUGGCCAGCAACUUCUGACGUGUGACCUGACUGAACAAUGAGAGGCUCGAGUGAAAUUACCAGCUGGUAGUAGGACAGAGGAUAUAGAUACAUGGAAUGGAGCUGAGCCAAAUUAAUGACAAAGGACUAGACAAGAAUGACUGUUGAUGAUCACCUAUGCUGAGAUCACAAAGCUGCCCCGAGUCCAGAAGCAGGUUCACUGAGGGAGGCUCAACCAUGUUACCAAUCUUGUUUGAGAUUAAUGUUCCUUGUUGUAAACCUCAAGUCUGUUUCUUGCAAUCAAACCAUUCUAAAUUGAAACAACUACUUAGAAAGUGUUUCUAUGGGUUCAGUGGGACAUUUCAACCAAAUGAAAUAUGAUAAUGAUCUUAAAUGAACUAACAAUAGUGUUGCAGAAAUAAAAUACAAAUACCAGAAAGAUAGCCAGGCACAGUGGCUCAUGUCUGUAAUCCCAGCACCUUGAGGGGCCCAGGCAGGAGGAUCCCUUGAGGCCAGGAGUUUGAGACUAGCCAUGGCAACAUAGCAAGGCCCUGUCUCUAUUAAAAAAAUAAUAAUAAUAAUUUAAAAAUUCGCCAGGCACAGUGGUGUGCACCUGUGGUCCCAACUACUCCGGAGGCUGAGGAGGGAGGAUCACUUGAGCCCAAGAGUUCAAGGCUGCUAUGAGCCAUGAUCACACCACUGCACUACAGCCUGGGCAACAGAGUGAGACCUUGUCUCUAAAAAAAUACAAACAAAAUACAGAUUUAACCAACUCAUGCCCAGCUUAAGUACAGAGUUUAAGAGUGUGCAUUUAGAAACUUCAUAAGUGUUUGGAAUCCUUGAGUGUUUUAUUUUGCUUUAAUUUUGGUCUUCAGAUUCAAAGGGUUAUUGUUUGUUUGUUUGUUUGUUUUGAGACGGAAUCUCGCUCUGUCACCCAGGCUGGAGUGCAGUGGCGCGAUCUCGGCUCACUGCAAGCUCCGCCUCCCGGGUUGACGCCAUUCUCCUGCCUCAGCCUCCGGAGUAGCUGGGACUACAGGAGCCCGCCACCACGC
rnacentral:lncRNA from 10 species